AUUGAACGCUGGCGGCGGGCUUAACACAUGCAAGUCGAGCGAGCGGCGGACGGGUGAGUCAUGUCUGGGAAACUGCCUGAUGGAGGGGGAUAACUACUGGAAACGGUAGCUAAUACCGCAUACCCUCAAAUGUUCCCAGAUGGGAGUAGCUAGUGGGUGGGGUAAUGGCUCACCUAGGCGACGAUCCCUAGCUGGUCUGAGAGGAUGACCAGCCACACUGGAACUGAGACACGGUCCAGACUCCUACGGUAGGCAGCAGUGGGGAAUAUUGCACAAUGGGCGCAAGUCUGAUGCAGCCAUGCCGCGUGUGUGAAGAAGGCCUUCGGGUUGUAAAGCACUUUCAGCGAGGAGGCGUUACUCGCAGAAGAAGCACCGGCUAACUCCGUGCCAGCAGCCGCGGUAAUAC
rnacentral:rRNA from 1 species